UACGAAGGGGGCUAGCGUUGCUCGGAAUCACUGGGCGUAAAGCGCACGUAGGCGGAUCUUUAAGUCAGGGGUGAAAUCCUGGAGCUCAACUCCAGAACUGCCCUUGAUACUGGGGAUCUUGAGUCCGGAAGAGGUGAGUGGAACUCCGAGUGUAGAGGUGAAAUUCGUAGAUAUUCGGAAGAACACCAGUGGCGAAGGCGACACGCUGGGCCGUACCUGACGCUAAAGCGCGACAACAUGGGGAGCAAACGGG
rnacentral:rRNA from 1 species